GCUGAGUUAGUUUAUGUUAGAAUGGUACCUUUUCGUGGUAUAGGUGAGUUUAAUAUUCAUUCAGUU
rnacentral:tRNA from 1 species